UGACCUACAAUGGUGCAUAAACUCCAAUGU
rnacentral:piRNA from 1 species